rnacentral:rRNA from 1 species
UACGGGGGGGGGUAAGCGUUGUUCGGAAUUACUGGGCGUAAAGGGCUCGUAGGCGGCCAACUAAGUCGGACGUGAAAUCCCUCAGCUUAACUGGGGAACUGCGUCCGAUACUGGAUGGCUUGGAUUUGGGAGAGGGAUGCGGAAUUCCAGGUGUAGCGGUGAAAUGCGCAGAUAUCGGGAGGAACACCGGUGGCGAAGGCGGUUCUCUGGGCCUGACCUGACGCUGAGGAGCGAAAGCGUGGGUAGCAAACAGG